rnacentral:lncRNA from 10 species
CGCUCCUGCGCACUGCCUGAUGUUCCCUCCCUGGGCUGGAUGCCGACGCUGGGAGACUCGGAAGCCGCGUGUGGAAGAUGGCAGUGUGAGCAAGGAGAGAAGACACCCAUUGCUCCUGUCUACACCACAUCUAGAAGGCAGAGAAAGGAAAAAGUGUCUUAAAAAAGUAAUAAUAAGGACCCAGCAAGAGAGCACCCUAGCCAAUCAAUCGUGGAAGAAAAGGGUGUCGUUGAUUAAAGAAACUGCCCUUCACUCUAGCAACAGAAGAGGGAGCAGUUGAUCUGCACAACCAACAGGCCGCUCGGGCCUCUAGGCCUCCACUGCAUUGUCUGCUAUUGCCAGUCCGGGGAAACGCAACAGAAAUAACCACCACCAAUCACAAAGCAGAAAAGGAGAACCAUACUUUCCAGCAGAUGGCGCCACUUCGGAAAACAGUUUGGUGCGUCCUCAAAAAAUUAAACAUAUAAUUACCGUGACCCGGCAAUUCCACUCCUAGGUAUACCCAAGGCAAAUGAAAACAUGUCCACAUAGACACUUGUACAUCAAUGUUCCUAGCAAUAUUACUCCUUAAGAGCCAAAAGAUGGAAACCACUCAAACGCCCGUCAACUGAUGAAUUGGUGAACAUGUUGUGGUAUAUAUCGAUACAAGAGACUAUUUGCGGUAAAUAGGGAUGCAAUACUGAUUGAUACUACAACAUGGAUUAACUUUGAAAACAUUGCUGGGGCUCGGAAGCUGAUGCCCCGAAUUUGAUGCUUUGUACAUGCUGAACUGAAAAAGGAGCUUCAAGGUCUCUCUCCUCCCUCCUGCCCCAAAGCAUAGGCUUCUCUGACAUUCCCUUAUCUGUCUAAAGUCUGGGUCUAUGAAAGAAAAACAAUCACCUCCAGUCACUUCCCUGAGUUUUCAUUAACUGCACCCAUAUCUCAGAAAGGAAAACUAAAGUCGGUCAACACACCUGGACAGACUUUUGUCACAAACCAUUGUCUGCUCUGCAGGCCCAGCAGACUUUACCGCAGACCGUGGUGUGUUCUUCAAGCCCUUUGAAUCUUCCCUAGUCAUCAUUUAUUGCCCCUCCCCAGAAUUCCUCUUCUCCCGCUCCCAUAACUACGACCAGGGAAGAUUCAAAGGGCUAAAAAUACAAAAAUUAGCUGAGCGUGGUGGCACAUGCCUGUAAUCUCAGCUACUUGGGAGGCUGAGGCAUGAGAUUUGAUUGAACCCGUGAGAUGGAGAGGUUGCAGUAAGCCAAGAUUGCGCCGCUGAACUCCAGCCUGGGCAACAGAGCGAGACUCCAUCUCAAAAAACAAAUCAAAACAAAAACAAAAAACAGGUGAUUGUGUCAUGGGGGCUCUGCCUUUGUGAAUAGAUUAACCCAUUCAUGAACUGAUGGACUGGUGGGUUAAUGGAUUAAUGUGUUAUCACAGAGUGGAAUUGGUGGCUUUAUAAGAAGAGAAAGAGACAUGGGCCAGCAUGUUCAGCCCCCUCGCCAUGUGAUGCCCGGCACCACCUUGGGACUCUACAGAGUCCCCACCAGCAAGAAGCCCUCACCAGAUGCAGCCAUUCAACCUUGGACUUCCCAGCCUCCAGAAGUGUAAGAAAUAAAUUUCAUUUCUUAGCAAUUACUCAGUUUCAAAUAUUCUAUUAUAUGCAACAGAAAAUGGACAGAGAGAGUUCUUAAGGAAUUCCCCAUCACAUCCGAGGCUUAUCCAGAGGUGAUCCUUGUCUGGUUCCCCAGGAGGCUCCUGGAGGAAAGGAAUGGACACUGUCCACCACCCCAUUCAUUGGAUGCAGGGCCCGAAGGGAGGACCUGUGGAGGGUUUUCCAGCGGCUCCCUUAAAAGGAACCUGGAGAGAGGUGAUUGAAUUACUUCCUCAGUGCAUCUUAUUUGUUAAUGACAUGCUCAUUUCAAUGAUCCAUGUCAUCCCGGUCCCUAUUACCAUAAAUAACGAAGCAUUAGCUGUACGUGGCAGUGGCUGUCUGGAGCAGCAAAGAGCCGAUCCCACGGUGUGUCUGCCCUGUCAAAAUCAUGUUGGCUGUGCUUAAAAAUGACACUCCAGCCUGUCCCUGCAAUCCCCAUGCGUUUUCAUCAUGAGUCAGAACUUCAAGAUGCUAUUCAUUCCGAAGCCAUGUCAGCUCAGCUGUCAAGCAAGUUUAUCGCAUCUUGUAUUUAUGAUAAACUUGAGUGACAUGCAGAUUUUGAAUAUCAUAUUCUAAAGCCAUUUUAAUCUAGGCUAAAUGCAGCCUGUCAAAUUCCCCUGUAAGGCAGGAUCCAUGGUGGGGGCUGGGGACUGAAGGGAGGUGACAGCAGUGCGGUUGGCAGACAGGGGAGAGGGAAGGUAAGCAACAGAGAAAGGUGCCUGGGUUCCCAAACAGGGUUCCAGAGGCAAGUCCACUCUGCCUAGAAGUAAGAUGGCUCUGGGGCAGGACGCAUGAAGGGUCUCGCCCAGAACAGUGGUUCCAGCGGUGAUUCCCAGGGACCUAUAGAAACCCUGAAGGGUGGGGAAGCUUGAGUCACAAGAUGUUUCAGGCCUUUCGAGGACUAGGUAUUUGUGAACACAGGCCAGCCUUGGAAAUUGAAUAUGCUCUCGACUUACAAUGCCACCACUUAAGAGGUUGUUGGGCUGGGGGUUACUCAUUCAGGGCACUGUUGUCCCUUCUGGGAUGAGAAAAGCCAAAUUAUUACACGCUGAAGCAGAUGUGUGGGGCCCGAGGUUUAUGCCACCCGGGAACUCUCUUUAAAGAAAAUGAAAACAAAAAUUGUGGUAGAGAAUUGCUCGGGUCCCUCCAAGGAGCCUACACAAAGGGCCUGCAGUGAGGGGUCCCAGUACCCUAGGCACAGAGGACCAUGAGCUGCCCAGGGCCUCAUGCCUGGGGAAGGCUAAGAUGUGAAGCAUGGUGAUACAAUAAGAAACAUAGAUUUGGUCCUUGUCUCUGUUCCUGGCACAGAGGGCCUAAGACCUUUGGAAUCUCUGCAGUGAGAAUAAUGAAUGUUUUUUGUGUACUAAUGAGAUGACUGGUGGCUGGGAGCCCCUGAACAGCUUCAGGAUGAGGGCUGGUCCCAGAAAGACCAAGGCAGGAUUAGGAGGUUGGAACUUUCAGCCCCACUCCCCGCAAACCUCCUCUGGGGAGAGGAGACAGGCUGGAGAUUGGGUUAAUCACCAGUGGUCAAUGAUUAAUGAAUCAUACCCAUGUCAUGAAAACUCCCUAAACAUUCCUGAACAACGAAGUCUGGAGAACUUCCAGGUUGGCAAACACAGCCAUGUGCUGACAGGGUGGCACACCCCGACUCCAUGCGGACAGAACCUCCUGGGCUCCGGACCCUUCCAGACCUAGCCCUGGCUGUUCGUCUGUGUCCAUGGUAAUAAACUGGUAAUAGUAAAUAAGUGUUUUCUUGGUUUCUAUGAGCUGUUCUAGCCAAUUAUUGACCUGAGGGAGGUG